UGGAGUACUCCUCUACCAUUUUCGAUUUUAACAUAUUUUUAAAUCAGUGUUUUUUCGAAAUUCGUAAACGUUUUUUUGCGGGUUUCAAACACAUAUAAAUCUGAUUUUCAAUCUUCAACAAUCGUACGUAUUAUAUAUACCGUGUCACGCAUUUUUCAUUGCAUUUAACAUUAACAAUAAUAAUCGUAGUGAUUUCGAUAAUACGGCGUGUUUCGCAUUUGAUAUUUUGUAUUUUUACUGUAGGUAUGUGCAAAAAAUGUC